rnacentral:rRNA from 1 species
CAUGCAGUCGAGCGGAUGAAGGAGCUUGCUCCUGGAUUCAUCGGCAGAGGGGUGAGUAAUGCCUAUGAAUCUGCCUGGUAGUGGGGGAUAACGUCCGGAAACGGGCGCUAAUACCGCAAACGUCCUGAGGGAGAAAGUGGGGGAUCUUCAGACCUCAGGCUAUCACAUGAGCCUAAGUCGGAUUAGCUAGUUGGUGGGGUAAAGGCCUACGAAGGCGACGAUGCGUAUCUGGUCUGAGAGGAUGAUCAGUCACACUGGAACUGAGACACAGACCAGACUCCUACUGGAGGCAGCAGUGGGGAAUAUUGGACUAUGGGCGAAAGCCUGAUCCAGCCAUGCCGCGUGUGUGAAGAAGGUCAUCGGAUUGUAAAGCACUUUAAGUUGUGAUGAAGGGCAGUAAGUUAAUACCUUGCUGUUUUGACGUUACCAACACAAUAAGCACCGGCUAACUUCGUGCCAGCACCCGCGGUAAUACUAAUGGUGCAAGCGUUAAUCGGAAUUACAGGGCGUAAAGCGCGCGUACGUGGUUCAGCAAGUUGGAUGUGAAAUCCCCAGGCUCAACCUGGGAACUGCAUCCGAAACUACUGAUCUACAGUACGGUAGAGGGUGAUGGAAUUUCAAUUGUAGCGGUGAAAUGCGUAUAUAUAUGAAAGAGACCACUAGCGAAGGCGACCACCUGUACGGGCUGACACUGAGGUGCUAAAACCUGGGGAGCACCACGAUUAUAUACACUGAUGGUCGACUCCGU